CACCACCCGUUGCUAUUGCCGAUCGAAUGGUUUAGUGAGGUCGUUGGAUUGGUGUCGUUGUAGUGGCUUUGCCGCUCGACUGAUGCUGAGAAGAUGACCUAAUUUGACUAUUUAGAGAAAGUAAAAGUCGUAACAAGGUUUCCUACGGAAG
rnacentral:ncRNA from 1 species